AUGGCAAGCGUGGGGACGCUGCUACGCUGCCAGGACGUAUCUGAGGCUGGCCUGUGGGGCCCCUCGUUGGGUGCUGGGAACCCACACUUGCACCUGGGGUCAUAUUUUAACCCUCAUUCCUGUCUCCAUUCACUUCUCCAGCUUCUCCUCAUCCUGCCAAACAGGGAAGCUGCACAGCCCUGCCCCAGUACAGACCCCAGAGACUGUCGAGGAGAAUGCAGAGGCUUCACCAAGCAUUGCCUCAGGACCCCUGAGCCCCGACACACAAGUACAUACUCUAUGGCCCUAUCAACACAGAAGUCAGGACGACGAAAGCUGGUCUUCGGGGUCCGUGGUUGCCUGGGACGGAGGGAGCAGGAGGAGCUAAACAUGAGAGACCAUAAAGCCGCACAGAUGUACAGCUGCGGCCAACCUUCUGCCUGCACACGGAAGAGCUGCAGCUUAUCAGGUUUCCCAUUAUUUAUGGAAAUCGGGGGAUUCUGGCAUCUUUUCAGGCCACCUGAAGAACAUCUGGCAUUCGUUUAGGAAAACGGGUUCGUUAAAGGAAUGGUAAUUUAUUUGACUACUUGGCACUCCUGGGGAAACACUUGGUUAUUGAUACCCUGGGCAGAUUUCUGGUUGGGUGAGUCUUUGGGUGAGCAAACAGGGAAACGCUCUUUUGGAAAAGCCUGUGCUUUUAAGGCAGCCUGGAUCAACGCUGACAAGGCAGGGUUUACCUCUGCUUCUCCGUGACCACAGAUAUGGAUUCUGACUUUAUAAUGAUGUGAAUUUUCUUGUUUACCACAGAGUUACAUUCCUACUAAGCAGGACACGUGUGCCUAAUCACCGGGCUACCCAAGAAUAAAGCAAACAUGUAAAAGAGCCUCAGGGUCCUAAGACCUGCCUCAAAAAUCAAUAGGGCUGUUUAGCUUCCUACCCUUAGAGACGGACAAAAUGGUUUCUGAAAACACUGUCAAGAUCUGAGAUUUCUGUCACACGUAAAAAUGGGGUGGGAAGAGAAAUAGCCAAAAAACAUCCCGAUAAAGAGAGGUGAAUCCAAGGUGACUUUCCCAUUGUUUUUCUAAAUCAGAUCUUUACCUAGAAAAAAUGCACUUUUUUUGCCAUGGGGAUUUAAAGAAACUUAAUUUCAUGAUAGGACAUUUCUGAGGGCAAAAUAUAGACCACAAGAUAGAUUCAUGUUUUUCCAAUGUGGCUCCACAGUACACAGGUCAGGCCCCAAAAGAAAUAGUUUACCCACAAUGCUUUAUGAUUGACAAGGGAUUAUGGACCUCUCUUUCUUCAUUUCCAAUUACACAGAUAAAAACACAGUCUGACCAAGAUCUUUGAUGAUGAUAUUCAACGUGUGAGGAAACGCUUUCCAGAACUGCCAUACGUGAACUCAAGAAUUUUGCCAGAAGUUUGAAUAAUGUUCCCAAGAACCUCUUAAAAGUUGCUGUCGUACGACUGUAAGGAAGGGAGGGUUUUCCAUAUCUGAGUUUCUAAGAACAGAAUAAUUACCUGGGAAUUUUGGUUGAAGAUAAGUACCUUGUUUUACAAAUGAGAAGGAAGAGAGAGGAGAGAGGGGGAGAGGAAGAGAGAGAGAGAGAGAGAGGUUAAAAAUUAAACAUACUAAAAAGUAGGAGCUGAGUGUACGGAAGUUUUCAGUCAAGUAGAUAUUUGACAUUUCUCUUGUGAAUUGUUUGCUUUAGGCAACAAAAGUGGAAAAUAUCUGAAGGAAAACAUAAAUUUUGUUUAAAAGUUAUCUGAUUAUUCUACCUCUAUUAAUGCAACUAAUCACAAAGUUGAAAAAGGACACUUGCCCACGUCCACUGGCUGACGGCCUAAAUGGUGGUAUCCUGUGUGACCACCGUUUAUAGGCCGUUCAGCCUCAGCUGCCUCCUGACACAUUUCGGGGCCGACCUGAAGGCCUCUCCACACGCAGGGACUGUGGCCUAACCGGGCGUGUGAACAGAACCCACCCUUGCCCUAGCAGCUGAAUCUCAGCGGAUCACAGCAGCCAGUGGUCACCACGCACCGUGGCCUGGUUCACACCAUGUUUCAAUGAGGCCCACACCACGCAGUGCCUGUCCGGCUGCUUCUGUGCCUCCAUACAGUUUUCUGUGCAUCACUGUCCUUUCUCUAUCCACAAAUCUGACUGGACCACGCAGCAGCCACGAAGCCACCCUGAGCCUGUGCUGGGUCCUGGCUGCCCUGGUCACAAACAUUUAUGUGUCAUGAAGCUCUGUGGCAUUCAGUUUGUCUGAAGUUUGUCUUUUACCAUUGGUGAUAGAGUGAGACAUACAGUGAGAAGGGGUAGGAGAUGUCCAAAAUCACAUCAAAAUUACAUCACAAGCAUUUCUGAGUGAGGAACAGUAGGGGCAGUAUCAGGUGGGACAGACGGGGUGAGUGCAUGAUCAGGAUGGGGGAAUAGGUGGGGCGGGGGCAGAGAGGAGGAAGAAGAGGGGAGCCAGCAGCAGGGAGAGGGGAGCCAGCACUGAAUACAAAACAUGAAAGAAAACCACCAGCUUCCGCACUCUCCCCUGUGCCCGGGACCUGACUGCUCUGAGGGGACCCGGAUGCGCUGUGGUGGCCUGACACUGGCUGAGAUGCAGAAUCAGGCCCAAGGGCUUCUGAGCUGGAAUCUGCCUUUUCCCAGGAUCCAGGUGAUUGGGAACUGUAUUCAUCUGAGGAAUGCUCCUUGUGACCAGGGUCCCACCAAGGACUCCUUCCCUCUGCCUUUCUCUGCAGGAAGCCCCUGAGAGACCACGGCAGGCAGGAUGCCGAAUGGGCUCCGGAGGCCUUCCAACCAUUCCCAGCCACGACCGGGAUCUGUGCUUUGAGCUGAGUCUACAGCAAAGGCCGCCUUGGCUCUCUCCCGGGGCCUAUACUUUGGAAGAAAGGAUGCAGGUGUUCUCGGAGGACAGGGACUGAUACAUUCCGAAAACAUGUUGUCUAGAAAAAAAUUCUUGCAAAUAGGAGGACAAGUUUUAUGCAUGGAUGCUCCCUUGCCCUGUCUGUGAAGAAAGGUGGGUUAAGUAGGUGCUUAGAAGCAAUUCUGUACCAGCAAAAUGUUUGUUUUCUCAUAUUUUGCAAGAUAAGUGAAAUUCCUUUAGCAUCCCCCCUCCAUGUUUUUAUAAUCCUCUGAUAGACUAACAUCCAAACAAAACUUGGAAACAAGCAGGAAAAGAAAACAAAUGGAGAAGCCCCGAGAUGCACUGCCCGUUGUCUGUUCGUCAUUCGGGGCCCAGGACUGGCUGGUCCCCAGGCAGAGGGCCUAGUAACCUCACAUCCAUGCAUUUCAUUUCCCAAGUGCUCAGCUUUUUACUUUAUGAAAAACUGAAACGGAGCACAGAAUGCGAACUGUGUCUCAGGGUGAGAACAGCCAUACACAAAACAACAGACUGCAAUUAAAGAGGAACCUUCAGUGAAUAGAAACCACGUGAGGGAAGAACAUGCCCGACGGACGCCAUUCCCCGGUGGGAAGGCCACACGUGACUCAAGCCGGUCCGAGCAGCAGCGCGGCCACUCUACGUGGUCAAGGACAGAGCCGGGCUUCAUAGCCUUAGCAGCUUUGCUUGAAAAUGCAUUUGAUACUAAUUCUCUAUGUUUAAUUUAAAUACAAAAUGAAAUGUAUCCUGAUGUUGAAAAUGUCAACUCCAGGGUAACAUCUGCAUUCCUGUGUAUUUAGUGUCUUCAGGGUCUACAUUUUCAAAAUAGAGAAACGAAUAAAGGAGAUAAAGUGGGUUAUGUCUGUUGCUUGUCCUACUGGAAAUUAAACUAAAAUACCUGAAAAAUGUUUUUAUUCUCUUGUCCUACUAGAAAUUAAAAUACCUGAAAAAUGUUUUUAUUCUUUAAUUUAAAACACAAUGAAAACCCAUCACAUGCCAACAUAAAUAACGUGUAAU
ensembl:lncRNA